rnacentral:rRNA from 1 species
UACGAAGGGGGCGAGCGUUGUUCGGAUUUACUGGGCGUAAAGGGCGCGCAGGCGGCGCAUUUUGUCAGGCGUGAAAGCCCCGGGCUUAACCUGGGAACUGCGUUUGAUACGGAUGGGCUAGAGUUCGGGAGAGGAGAGUGGAAUUCCCAGUGUAGAGGUGAAAUUCGUAGAUAUUGGGAAGAACACCGGUGGCGAAGGCGGCUCUCUGGACCGAGACUGACGCUGAGGCGCGAAAGCGUGGGGAGCAAACAGGAUUAGAUACCCUGGUAGUCCACGCUGUAAACGAUGUGUGCUAGACGUUGGGGAGCCUAGCUCUUCGGUGUCGCAGCUAACGCGGUAAGCACACCGCCUGGGGAGUACGGCCGCAAGGUUAAA